AUUGAACGCUGGCGGUAGGCUUAACACAUGCAAGUCGAACGAGUGGGGGAGGGGUGAGUAAUGCAUAGGAAUCUACCAUUUAGGCUAGGAUAACUACCCGAAGGUGGGGCUAAUACUAGAUCCUCAGAGAUGAGCCUAUGUGGGAUUCGCUAGUGGGUGGGGUAAGGGCUCACCAAGGCGACGAUCUCUAGCUGGUUUGAGAGGAUGAUCAGCCACACUGGGACUGAGACACGGCCCAGACUCCUACGGGAGGCAGCAGUGGGGAAUAUUGGACAAUGGGCGAAAGCCUGAUCCAGCAAUGCCGCGUGUGUGAAGAAGGCCCUCGGGUUGUAAAGUUCUUUCGGUAGCGAGGCGUUACCUACAGAAGAAGCACCGGCUAACUCCGUGCCAGCAGCCGCGGUAAUAC
rnacentral:rRNA from 1 species